rnacentral:tRNA from 1 species
GCGCCUGUAGCUCAUUAGGAUAGAGCGGGAGUUUCCUAAACUCCGUCAGCGGGGGGUUCGAAUCCCUCCAGGCGCACCA